AACGAACGCUGGCGGCAUGCCUAACACAUGCAAGUCGAACGAAGCCUUCGGGCUUAGUGGCGCACGGGUGCGUAACGCGUGGGAGUCUGCCCUUGGGUUCGGAAUAACAGUUAGAAAUGACUGCUAAUACCGGAUGAUGUCUUCGGACCAAAGAUUUAUCGCCCAAGGAUGAGCCCGCGUAGGAUUAGGUAGUUGGUGGGGUAAUGGCCCACCAAGCCGACGAUCCUUAGCUGGUCUGAGAGGAUGAUCAGCCACACUGGGACUGAGACACGGCCCAGACUCCUACGGGAGGCAGCAGUGGGGAAUAUUGGACAAUGGGCGAAAGCCUGAUCCAGCAAUGCCGCGUGAGUGAUGAAGGCCUUAGGGUUGUAAAGCUCUUUUACCAGGGAUGAUAAUGACAGUACCUGGAGAAUAAGCUCCGGCUAACUCCGUGCCAGCAGCCGCGGUAACAC
rnacentral:rRNA from 1 species